rnacentral:rRNA from 1 species
GAUGAACGCUAGCGGCAGGCUUAAUACAUGCAAGUCGAACGGUAAGUUUGGUAGCAAUAUCAAACCAAGAGUGACGUACGGGUGCGUAACACGUAUGCAACCUACCUUGUACAGGAGUAUAGCUCGGGGAAACUCGAAUUAACCCUCCAUGAGAUCAUAGAAUGGCAUCAUUUAGUGAUUAAAACUCAGGUGGUACAAGAUGGGCAUGCGUCUGAUUAGAGUUGGCGGGGUAAUGGCCCACCAAGACGAUGAUCAGUAGGGGACCUGAGAGGGUGAUCCCCA